GACGAACGCUGGCGGCGUGCUUAACACAUGCAAGUCGAACGAAGUGGCGAACGGGUGAGUAAUACGUGAGUAACUGCCCUCCUUUUUGGGAUAAGCCUUGGAAACGGGGUCUAAUACCGAAUAAAGGGGGAUGGGCUCGCGGCCUAUCAGCUUGUUGUUGGGGUGCUGGCCUACCAAGGCGGUGACGGGUAGCCGGCCUGAGAGGGGACCGGCCACAUUGGGCUGAGGUACGGCCCAGACUCCUUGGGGAGGCAGCAGGGGGGGAUAUUGCACAAUGUGCGAAAGCCGGAUGCAGCGACGCCGCGUGGGGGAUGACGGCCUUCUGGUUGUAAACCGCUUUCAGCCAUGACGCGGUAGUGGCAGAAGAAGCACCGGCUAACUACGUGCCAGCAGCCGCGGUAAUAC
rnacentral:rRNA from 1 species